GGCGAUGCAACAAUUUUUAAAUACGCUCUAUAUCACGAUUCCCAAUGCCUAUGUGCAUCUGGAGAAUGACACAUUGCGAGUGGAAGUGGAAAGAGAGAAGAAGCUGCAAGUGCCAUUACAUCAUAUUGGCGCGAUGGUAUGUUUCGGAGAUGUAAUGGUAUCGCCCGCGGCGCUCCACCGUUGU
rnacentral:misc_RNA from 1 species